UACAGAGGUCCCAAGCGUUGUUCGGAUUCACUGGGCGUAAAGGGUGCGUAGGUGGUGAGGUAAGUCGGAUGUGAAAUCUCGGAGCUCAACUCCGAAAUGGCAUUGGAAACUACCUUGCUCGAGGGUUGGAGGGGGGACUGGAAUUCCCGGUGUAGCGGUGAAAUGCGUAGAUAUCUGGAGGAACACCGAUGGCGAAGGCAGCCCCCUGGGUCAAGAUUGACGCUCAUGCACGAAAGCGUGGGGAGCAAACAGG
rnacentral:rRNA from 1 species